CAAAGGCUGGGCAGGUGUAUGGGGGGCAGGGGGGCGUGGAAGCAGCCCCCCCCAUUGCGGGCAGCCCCAUUUCCUCAUGGCUGGCAAGGGAGGCCGGGGGCCCCUCCAUAUUUCCGGGCUCCCCCCAGUCCUUGGCAUUGGGGGGAGUGGAGUUGGGGGUGCACCUGCCCGGGGCUGUUGUUUGCUUUGUACUGCGCGUGGGGAGGGAUUUGGGGACACAGACACCCACUGUGUGUCGGGGGGGUAGGAGCGCACCCCCAUGUUCUGAUCCCCCCAUGCUGGAGAAAGAACCCAGGCGUCCUGGCCUUCACUGUGUGUGGGGGGACAAUAGAGACUCUGGGCCCCCCAGCAUCGGAGGCUGUAGCAAGGGGGCGAGUGGGGUCCAGUUUGCUGGACAGCGGUGGGGUUUGGGGGCUACGGCUGCACUCCAGGGAUUGCUUGUGGGACAGGGACGUCCCCUCAACGUGGGGCUUCUGGGGCAUGGCUGCACCCCAUUAUCUGCUGGGGGGUUCGGCUCCCGCCUCCCCCUACCCAUGGCUUGCAUUGGAGGUGAACGCUGGCACCCACGAGUGGGUGGGAUUUAGGGGGGCGACUGCACCUCAUUAUAGUGGGGGUCUGGAUUCUACAGAGCUGUGCACUGGGGGAAAUGGGGUGUGUGAAAACAGCCCCCCAGGUGCUGGGAGAGGGGCGGCAGGACCCCAAAACACUUCUCUGUAGCCUGCUCACCCCAGGGCAGGGUGCACGCAUGGGGUACACACGCGCGUCUCCCCGGCGCACAGUGGGCGCACGUGGAUGUGGGGGGGCAGGGACACCCCCGAGUUAGUCAUGGGGUGGCUGGGAGUCGAGUGUUCCCCCCUCCAGCACGGCUCCUCGGGGGUUAGGAAAUGGGGGUAUCUUGUGUGCUCCACAUGUCUGCAGGGCCAAGGCUGCUGGACGAAGGGGGGAUUUGGGGUUUCACCGCUAGUGACCCAACUUGGACCCCAUACUGGGGGGGCUAUUGAGGGGGACAUGGAGAUGUUAGGAGCUGGAUAAAG
rnacentral:lncRNA from 1 species